rnacentral:rRNA from 1 species
CGAACGCUGGCGGCGUGCCUAAUACAUGCAAGUCGAACGGUCUUUUCUAUGGAAGCUUGCUUCCACUGAGAAGAUAGUGGCGAACGGGUGAGUAACACGUGGGUAACCUGCCCAUAAGAGGGGGGAUAACAUCCGGAAACGGGUGCUAAUACCGCAUAGUUUUCUUGGUCGCAUGAUCGGGAAAGGAAAGACGGCCUUUGUGCUGUCGCUUAUGGAUGGACCCGCGGCGUAUUAGUUAGUUGGUGAGGUAACGGCUCACCAAGACGAUGAUACGUAGCCGACCUGAGAGGGUGAUCGGCCACAUUGGGACUGAGACACGGCCCAAACUCCUACGGGAGGCAGCAGUAGGGAAUCUUCCGCAAUGGACGAAAGUCUGACGGAGCAACGCCGCGUGAGUGAAGAAAGGUUUUCGGAUCGUAAAACUCUGUUGUCAGAGAAGAACAAGUUGGAGAGUAACUGCUCCAGCCUUGACGGUAUCUGACCAGAAAGCCACGGCUAACUACGUGCCAGCCGCAGC